AACGAACGCUGGCGGCAUGCCUAACACAUGCAAGUCGAACGAGACCUUCGGGUCUAGUGGCGCACGGGUGCGUAACGCGUGGGAACCUGCCCUUAGGUUCGGAAUAACUCCCCGAAAGGGGUGCUAAUACCGGAUAAUGUCUUCGGACCAAAGAUUUAUCGCCUUUGGAUGGGCCCGCGUUGGAUUAGCUAGUUGGUAGGGUAAAAGCCUACCAAGGCGACGAUCCAUAGCUGGUCUGAGAGGAUGAUCAGCCACACUGGGACUGAGACACGGUCCAGACUCCUACGGGAGGCAGCAGUGGGGAAUAUUGGACAAUGGGCGAAAGCCUGAUCCAGCAAUGCCGCGUGAGUGAUGAAGGCCUCAGGGUUGUAAAGCUCUUUUACCCGGGAUGAUAAUGACAGUACCGGGAGAAUAAGCUCCGGCUAACUCCGUG
rnacentral:rRNA from 1 species